rnacentral:lncRNA from 1 species
AAGAGGCAACUGACCAGUUGUUAGCUCAGCCUACCCCAAUAAGAAGAGAAACAAGGCACAAGAGCAUGGAAAUAAUUUUCUCUCAUGUCCAGUACAGUGCCAAAAUCAUCAGCCACACCCUUGACACACCCUUAAAUGAAGGUGUGGUUAUCGUAUCGUUAAUAAUCGAUAUUUCCUUUAAAAGUCCAUUAUCGAUCGUUAUUGAAAAUUAAGAAAAUUGGCCAUAUCGCCCAUCACUAGGGGGCAGGGUAUGUAAUUCUCAUUAAUUAUUCAUAUACUUUCAAAUCAUUUAUAGCAAAAUUACUAGAGUGUUAAACUUCUUUUGUUGACAGAUCUCAUCAUUAUCCUCGUGUAAAAAAUCAGUGAGACUGAUAUUAAAGAUGAAUCCAUUGCUUAAAGGAUUUGGAAAUGCUCAAACAACAAUGAAUGAUAAUUCAUCUAGGUUUGGAAAAUAUCUUCAACUGAAAUUUAAUGGAAUGAGAAAAGAUUUCUCUGUAUCUUUUCUUUGUAACUGUUGUGUCCUUUGCUUUUGUUAUCAAAGAGAAUCCUAUCGCCUUAGUGCUAUUUCUCACAUUGGUAUUACCAACAGCUUUGGCAAUACCACAUUGGUGACCCGUCUCAGCAACGCGAUGUCUAGAUUGAAUCAAGAGGACCACUGCCUUGGAACAAAGACGGCUCUAGGAGGUCUUCAGCACCAAAGAUCUGGGAGACAGGACUCCAUCGCAACUCCUUCGUAGGAUGCAGCAACUAUUGGGUGACAAGGCCAGUACUGCUGAACCCUCGUUUCUCAGAGAACUCUUUUUCCAGCGUCUUCCUUCUCAAGUAAGGGUGGUCUUGGCCUCCACUAAAGACACAAAAGACUUUGAAGUGUUAGCCUCAUUAGCUAACAGAGUGUUUGAGGUAGCCACUCCUUCUGUUUCUUCAAUUGAAACCUGACAACUCUCAACUGAGGUAGAUAAGCUACGCACUGAUAUUACUGAUCUUAAAUCUCUUGUCAAAUCUCUCUUUUUUUCCCUCUCUACUUCUCACCAUAAUACUACUCUUCAUAAGCACUUUCCUAAGCACCGAACUCCCAGCCCAGCUCUACCUAAUUGGCCUACUGGUCUCUGCUGGUAUCAUUCUCGCUUUGCCAGCAAAGCAGCUAAAUGCACUCAGCCAUGCUCCUGGGAAUCGGAAAACCCCCAGGCCGAUCACUAAUGGCGACUACCGUGCCUGGCCAAUCUCCUAGUUAUCUAUUUUUUGUCCUGGAGUGUACUUCACAUCAGCAUUUUCUGGUGGAUACUGGUGCUGAGAUCAGUGUUGUUCCUCCAUCAAAGUCAGAGAGGCAACACAAACAACAAUGUAUCAAUCUCUUAGCAGCUAAUGGUGCUACCAUUACCACUUAUGGACUUUGUUCUAUCACUCUAAAUCUCGGUUUUUGCCACCCAUAUCACUGGAUCUUUACCGUGGCUGUCGUACGCCAACCUAUAUUGGGGGCAGACUUUCUCAGGCAUCAUGGUCUAUUGGUUGAUGUCAAGAAUCGUAUAUUGAUGGACUCUGAAUCAAAAUUAAAGACAGAUAUUAUAUCCACACACCAGAAUACACACAGUCUAACCACACUUAACCCUCUCUUUUCUUCUAAUCCUUUCCAUUCUCUCCUUUUAGAUUAUCUGGAACUCACUUGCUCAUUCAUUGACAACUGGUCAUCCCAUUUCAGCACGUACUCGUCGACUCCCUCCGGAACGUCUCACUCUCGCUAAGUCUGAGUUCGACCAUAUGAUGGAACUUGGUAUAAUUCAUCCCUCCUCUAGCCAAUGAUCUUCUGCAUUGCACAUGGUUCCCAGGAAAACAGGAGAUUGGAGACCUUGCGGAGACUACCGAGCACUCAAUUGAGUUACUGUACCAGACAGGUAUCCUUUUCCUCAUAUCCAAGAUUUCACUUCAACUCUCCGUGGUACUACUACUUUCUCUAAGCUCGAUCUUGUGAGAGCUUACCACCAGAUCCCUGUCGCUCAAGAGGACAUCCACAAAACUGCCAUCACUACUCCCUUUGGGUUAUUUGAGUUCAUACAAAUGGACUCCGUAACACUGCCCAGUCUUUCCAGAGGUUUAUUGAUACUGUCUUACGUGGGCUUAAAUUUACUUACGCAUAUAUUGAUGAUGUCCUCAAUGCAAGUUCUUCAGAGGAGGAGCAUAAACAACAUCUUCGCCUUGUUUUCGAAUGAUUUAAAGAAUAUUGUGAUAUUGUGUCCUUAUUCACCCCAACAAGUGUGAGCUAGGUGUGCCUUCUCUCCACUUCUUAGGCCAUGUCAUUAAUGCAGAUGGUAUUCAGCCAUUAGAGAGCAAGGUCUCUGCCAUCCUCGUCCGACUACUCAACGGUAGUUAAGAGAGUUUCUUGGGAUGGUUAACUUUUACCAUCGUUUCAUACCACACUGUGCUAAGGUAUUGCAUUCCUUACACACACUCCUCACUCAUUCACACACUAAGUCUGAGCUGCAAUGGUCUGAGUAAAUGAGUGUAAUUGUGUAUUUCAAAAGGCCAAGGAAGCUUUAGCUCAAGCCUCAUUAUUAUUCCAUCCCACCCCUGAAGCUCCCACUGCCAUAUUGACUGAUGCAUCUGACAUUGCUGUAGGUGCAGUAUUACAACAAUAUGUGAAUAAUCAGUGGCAACCACUUUCAUAUUUUUCCAGGAAGCUUUCCCCAACUGAGCAAAAGUAUAACACUCUUGAUUGAGAGCUCCUAGCCAUUUAUUUAGCUAUCAAACACUUUUGUUAUUUUGUUGAAGGUCAUGUCUUCACAGUUUACACUGACCACAAACCACUCACAUAUUCCUUGCAUACUAAAUCUAAUAAAUAUUCACCACAACAAAUCAGACAUCUCGAUUACAUUUCUAAAUUUACUAGUGAUAUUCGUCACAUACAGGGCAAGGACAACCCAGUUGCUGAUGCAUUGUCCAGAGUACAACUCAAUGCCAUUUGACUCCCUCCUAUUCUUAAUCUAGAAGAAAUGGCUACUGCUCAAGAUAAGUGUGAGUUUCUCUCUACAGAGUCUUGGCAUCACUCUCUCACUCUACAACCUUUCCCUCUUCCUCAUUCUACACACUCUAUUAUUUGUGACGUUUCUCAUGGAGCACCACGCCCAGUUGUACCACCCUCUUUCAAACGAUUGUCGAUUAGUUUUCAAUGCUCUGCACAGACUUUCUCAUCCAGGUAUUAAAGCUACUGGGAAACUCAUAUCAAGUCAAUUUGUGUAACCCAAGAUCUACUCUGAUAUUGAAGGAUGGACUCGUACAUGCCUCUCUUGUCAACAGUCCAAAGUAAUUCAUCACACUCUUUCCCCUUUAUCAUUUUUUCCUACACCUGAUUCUCUGUUCGAUCACAUCCAUGUUGAUAUUGUUGGCCCCCUUCCCCCUUCUCAUGGUCAUACAUAUCUACUCACUUGUAUUGAUAGAUUUCACUUGAUGGCCAGAAGCAUUUAAAUUUCCCCUCACUGAUAAUACUUCUCUCUCAGUUGCUCGUUCUCUCAUUUCUGGAUGGAUUUCAAGGUUUGGAGUCCCAUCCACCAUUACUACUGAUUGCAGAUGUCAAUUUGAAUCUAACGUCUGGUAUCAACUCAUCAUAUUGCUAGGUACUACACGUAUUUGCAACAUGGCCUACCACCCCAAGCAAAUGGUAUUGUGGAACGUUUCCUCCGACAACUGAAAGUAGCUCUUAAAGCUCACAAUGACUCUUCAUAGACCGACUCUCUUCCAUUGGUAUUACUCAGCAUACAUGUUGCUCUUAAGGAGGAUCUUCACUGCACUACUGCAGAACUAGUAUAUGAUAUGCCACUCCGUCUCCCUGGUAAAUUUUUUUCUCCUUCCCUCCUCUACUCCUGAUUCUAUACAUUAUGUGCUAGUGCUACUCGCAUUCAAAAUAUUCGUGAUUCAGUUAUAGACACAUCUCUCUCGACUACUCAAUAUGUCUUCGUUUGUAGAGAUGCAGUUAAGAGGCCCUUGCUACAACCAUACGAUGGCCCAUUUUGAGUGUUGUCUCACUCAGACAAAUAUUUUGUCUUAGAUAUCAGCGGUCGGAAUGAUAUUGUCAGUAUAGAUCGAUUAAAGACUGCUCAUAUUAAUUCCUCAACUUCUACUACUGACAACAGUACUCCUAACACUCCUAUUACUAAUCAUACUGCUACUCUACCUACUACUCCUUCCACUGCUGUCACUCAUACUUGUUUAGGACGCCAAGUUCAUUUUCCCUCUCGUCUCAAUUUAUAAGGUAUUCUUACGCUGGAGGGGGAGUACUGUAGUGGAUGGUUAACUAUCAUUACAGUUAUUAUUAUUAUCAUUAUUAUUAUACUACUUGUUAUUAUUAUCAUAACUUGUGUGCACAUGUGCAUAACACAUUAUCACUUCUCAGAUUUCUCUCUCUAUGUUAGUAUCUUUUCUUUGUAACAGUUGUGUCCUUUUUUUGUUAUCAAAGAGAAUCUUGUAGCCUUUGUUGCUAAUCCUUCAUAGUACACAAA